rnacentral:lncRNA from 1 species
UCAUGAAUUGGUGAUGAUUGGUAAAGUAUGAACGUGGGAAUGACUCAGGUGUCGUCCUGAUCCUGAUAUUCCGUGAGGACGCUUUCUCAGGUAGAGAAAGGUCACUCAUGUGUGGGAAUGGCAGGAGGUCCGCGGUUAUAUGAAUAGAUAACCGUUUGAGGACUAACCUCGGGUGGCAGCUGAUAAGGAAAGGCAGUUACUACACCACACCGGGUGCUAGGGACGACCGAGCUACAUGUUCAUACCGUCCGGACAGUGUCUUAGUGGUCGGUCAUGAUUUGAGGUCUGUAGUAUGC